rnacentral:rRNA from 1 species
UACGUAGGGUGCAAGCGUUAAUCGGAAUUACUGGGCGUAAAGCGUGCGCAGGCGGUUGUGCAAGACAGAUGUGAAAUCCCCGGGCUUAACCUGGGAAUUGCAUUUGUGACUGCACGGCUAGAGUGUGUCAGAGGGGGGUAGAAUUCCACGUGUAGCAGUGAAAUGCGUAGAUAUGUGGAGGAAUACCGAUGGCGAAGGCAGCCCCCUGGGAUAACACUGACGCCUCAUGCACGAAAGCGUGGGGAGCAAACAG